CCUACGGGUGGCAGCAGUGGGGAAUCUUUGGCAAUGGGCGCAAGCCUGACCCCGCAACGCCGCGUGAAGGAAGAAGGCUUUCGGGUUGUAAACUUCUUUUCUCAGGGACGCAGCAAGUGACGGUACCUGAGGAAUAAGCCACGGCUACCUACGUGCCAGCAGCCGCGGUAAUACGGAGGUGGCAAGCGUUAUCCGUCUUUACUGGGUGUAAAGGGCGAGUAGGCGGGUAUGCAAGUAAGAUGUGAAAACCAUGGGCUCAACCUAUGGCCUGCAUUUGAUACUGUAGUUCUUGAGUACUGGAGAGGCAGACGGAAUUCGUAGUGUAGCGGUGAAAUGCGUAGAUAUUAGGAGGAACACCAGUGGCGAAGGCGGGCUGCUGGACAGCAACUGACGCUGAGGCGCGAAAGCGUGGGGAGCAAACAGGAUUAGAUACCCGAGUAGUC
rnacentral:rRNA from 1 species